UGAUGAUAAAUCUCCGGAAUCUCUGUAAUUGCAUUGAUGAUUCCUCUUGAACCCUUUUUGUCUGAUGACUCCGGGCCUGAAAC
ensembl:snoRNA